AGUGUCCAUUUCGGUUUGAGGAGACGACGGGGUUCGCAGUGGGUGGCGACAGGGAAGCCUCGGCAUCGGACGGUAGGCGGUGCGAAUCGAUCCCCACAUUGGUCUGCUCGCAGUUUGUGUUGGUUCUGAAUCCCCCCUUCAGAAAGAUGGAGCGCCAGGGUUGUUGCUGGAGAAGCCCCUACUCUCCACCGGGAGUCGUCUUGGGUCCACGCCCGUCAAUGGCAGAGAAAGGAGGUCAUUUAGCAAAGCGUUGCAGUACUCCAAGAUCAAUGGUCACUGCACAAAUGUCCAGUCCAUGAAACCGGUCUUAGGAACUUUGAAGCUGAACGGGGUUGCUGAAGCCGAGGUUUGAAGUGCAACUGUUAUUUAAUUACUUGUUUUGACUCAGUGGCACAUCUAUAUUAGUUUUCUUUUGACCUUAAUACAGAUAU